CCUACGGGGAGCAGCAGUGGGGAAUAUUGGACAAUGGGCGAAAGCCUGAUCCAGCCAUGCCGCGUGUGUGAAGAAGGCCUUCGGGUUGUAAAGCACUUUCAGUGGGGAAGAAAGCCUUGGGGCUAAUACCCUCGAGGAAGGACAUCACCCACAGAAGAAGCACCGGCUAACUCCGUGCCAGCAGCCGCGGUAAUACGGAGGGUGCGAGCGUUAAUCGGAAUUACUGGGCGUAAAGCGCGCGUAGGCGGUCUGAUAAGCCGGUUGUGAAAGCCCCGGGCUCAACCUGGGAACGGCAUCCGGAACUGUCAGGCUAGAGUGCAGGAGAGGAAGGUAGAAUUCCCGGUGUAGCGGUGAAAUGCGUAGAGAUCGGGAGGAAUACCAGUGGCGAAGGCGGCCUUCUGGACUGAAACUGACGCUGAGGUGCGAAAGCGUGGGUAGCAAACAGGAUUAGAUACCCCAUAGUC
rnacentral:rRNA from 1 species